AAACUCUGUAGUAGGUAUACUUUUACAAUAUAAGUGUGAGUAGUGAGUUGGUAGAGUCCACACGCCGCUUCAGUUGUUAUAUGUAACUAGUAUAACAUACUGCGUUUAUUGAAAUUAUCAAUUGAAAUUAUACAAGAUGCCUUGUGGAGGAAGCAAAGACCACUCGUGCAAGAAUGGCGGAAACUGCAAAGACAGCUGUACCUGCCAAGCUGAUUGUUCUGAUUGUUCCACCAAGCAAGGAGGUUGUUGCUGAAAAUUUCAAUAUUUGAGGUACAGCAGCUACUUGGGAAGCUAAUGUGUACGAGUAAUUAGACAAUGUUUGAUUACAGCUACUUUCAUGUAAUAAAUACAAUAUUUGAAAUAUCUUACAUAA